CAAAAAUCGAUUUUCAGCCAGGCAUACAUCGAAAGGAGAGAACUGCCAAAAGACAGCCCAAUAUUUAUCCAAUGAGGCAUCAAACAAAGAUAAAGACUGAAUCGUCUUAAACAGAACCACUAUAUGAUAUAGGACCGGCCAUCCUAUAUCAUAACACAAAGAUUCGAGAAAAUUCAAAUAUUCGAUGGCCGGUUAAAAAGACCAAGUAGCCACCAAUGUAGACACACAGCGGACGUCAUAUCUUCAUUAUAGAUCAUUUAUAAGUGAGCACAAUCACAUGAGGUCUUCUGGGUGAAAUCAAGAUCAAAACCUUGAGUACUUAUAUCCAAAAUGGACAAUAUCAUAUUGUUAUUGUAGAGAUUCAUCUACCUUAACCAGGAAUAGAAUGGUAUAGCUAUAUAAUGAUCAUGUACAAAUUCAUGAUAGUCAUUUCAGGUAAUGGUAAGUGUGACAUCCCAAGCUUCUAGAAAAUUUAGGAUAAUUAUCUCGAAUUAUUGAAUUCCAGUUUCCUUUAAUUUUAGUAAUUUGGGAUUUAAUUGAGAUAAUUGUAAAACCUCGUCGAUUAAUUUGCACUUAAAGGCUCAAAGGAUUGAAUUAAUUAUCUUGGAAAAAUUGGAUUUUAAUUCCAUUUGAUUUUAGAGAUAAUUGAUUUAUUUAGUUUUAAUUGAUAUGGAUGUGUUAAUUAAGAAGGUAGAGGAGAAGAAUUUGGAAUUAUGAAAGGGUUUAAAUCCAAAAAGGAUUUUGGAUUUUGGAAUUGGAUUUUAUUAAGGACAAGGGAAAAGGUUUUUGUUUUUUUUUUUUAAAUAUAUAAUGUAUUUGAAUAUCUUGAGUGGUUGAAGUGAAGAUUAGUUUCAUAUUAUUUAAUGAACAUCUUGUAUUUCAUAAAAAUUAGGGACAAUAUAAUCUUUAUGUAAGGGCCAUCCUACCCAACUUUCAGGCAUUAUAAUAGACGUAAGUGCCUACGGUUAGAGAAAGGAAAUUAUUUAAGUUCUUCUUUUAAGCCUCGUUAAGCAUGCGAGCAUAAAAAAAAAUGAAAAAUAAAGGAAAUCUUCUUGCGUGAAGAACCUCAGCCACAACUGUCUGCUCAACUUCUUCACUAGCCACCAAAGCACGCUACCGUCACCAUCUACUGCCCGGCCACGCCGACAUCUCCUCACGCCAGUUUCAAGCUGAACGUGCGCAAUACCAAUUCGGAUUCAUCUCCUCACGCGAGGUACCUUGUCGUUCCAAUCCGCUCCGGUUCAUCCGCGCGCAGGCCGAGCAUCCCAGCCAUUUUGCCGCGCUAGAUCUAACAUCCUCGCCGUCAGCCCCUUUUGCCCGCCGAAUUAUUGGAUUUGUUUAGUAAGGCCUCUUUUCUUCAAGAUUUCAUGAUUUUCUCUUGAAAUCUUGGUUAGCUUUGCAUGGCUAUCAAGUUUUGGCAUGAAUUUUGAUGUUACCCAUAAUGUUUUGGAGGUUAGAUUGAAAUUUCAAGGUGUUUAAGAUUGCGACCCAACAAAUUGAAGCGUUUUGGCACAUUCUUGGAGGUGGGAGUUGAGAUUUUAAGGCGAUUUUUUUAGCAGGCUGUCCAAUACGGUUAAGGGUGUUGGUAAGAUUUGGGGAUUAUUGAAUGAGUUUUGUUUGUUUUUGACCCCAAAAGUUGAAAUUAAAUGUUGUGUUUUGCAUUAGGGACCUUGAACCAAGAUUCCUAAGCCAAGAAAGGAAUUAUUUUGUCUGUUAUUUGAGCUUAAGCCUUGAUGUAAGAGCAAGAAUACUCGGAUGAUUGAACAAGAGGAAUCCGUGAUAGUGUCAAAGGGCUAGAAAACGAUUCCGCAUUGGGUUCAUAUGUUUUUUUUUUCUUCAUGUUUUACAAUUUUCUUUUCAUGAACUUGUUUGAAAGAAUUUAGGUGUUAGAGAUUUUCAUUUUUAGUUAAUUUUCCUUAUUUUAAAA